UUGGAUUUGUGGUGUGUCCAGUUGGCCUUUGCUCUUUGAGUGAUAGUGCUUUACUGGUCUGCCAUGUUUGGGUGGAAUCUGUGUGGCAUUAAGUUGUCGUGCAGGGGAUGCCCAUCGUUUACUGUGAAAAAAUUAGAGUGUUCAAAGCAGGCUUAUGCCUCUGAAUAUAUUAGCAUGGAAUAAUGAUAUAGGACCUUGGUACUAUUUUGUUGGUUUGCGCACUGAGGUAAUGAUUAAGAGGGACAGUUGGGGGUAUUUGUAUUCCAUUGUCAGAGGUGAAAUUCUUGGAUUUUUGGAAGACAAACUACUGCGAAAGCAUUUACCAAGGAUGUUUUCAUUAAUCAAGAACGAAAGUUAGGGGAUCGAAGAUGAUUAGAUACCA
rnacentral:rRNA from 1 species